rnacentral:lncRNA from 1 species
GGAGGGAUGGUUAAUGAGAAUUGAAGUUUCAUUUAAAUUUUCUUUUCAAAAAUCUUUUCUUUCCGUGAAGAUGAAAGUGAAGAGUUUCCAGACAAGCUUAGCUGGAGUGCAUUCCACUUCUCUGAAGUUUAAGAAUGGCAAAGAAAAUAGUGAGACAGACAAAAGGAAUGCAGAAAUGGUACCACAAAGACAAAUGCUCCUAGAAGCCAAACAGAACAGGCAAGGAAGAGGAAUUCAGACUCUUGGGGGGUCUUCUUGCUUCACUACAUGCCAAUCACCAAUUGCUUGAACUUCAUGGAGAAUUAGAAAGGUUUCUUCAUCCCAAUCAAUUCUGUGUCAUCAAUAAAUACGGUUAUAUUGAUAAAUAAGGUUAACCUGAAAGUCUAACAUUUUCUUUAAAUAUAUUU